UACGGAGGGUGCAAGCGUUAUCCGGAUUCACUGGGUUUAAAGGGUGCGUAGGAGGGCAGGUAAGUCAGUGGUGAAAUCUCCAAGCUUAACUUGGAAACUGCCGUUGAUACUAUCUGUCUUGAAUAUUGUGGAGGUGAGCGGAAUAUGUCAUGUAGCGGUGAAAUGCUUAGAUAUGACACAGAACACCGAUUGCGAAGGCAGCUCACUAAACUGUAACUGACGCUGAGGCACGAAAGCGUGGGGAGCAAACAGG
rnacentral:rRNA from 1 species